GUUUUACAAGUUAUGCUGAAGACACUGUAGGUGGCCUUAUCCGUGUUUUCUUCUAGUUCUAAUGUUCCCCUUUUUAGAAUGAUUUAUGGACUGAUGAUUCGUGGGAAAAGUCGAAACGAGUUCAAAUGGCUGACUCUUCCCUUCCUACUUUAGCUUAGCUUGUCUUUUCCGAUUGCUGUUCAAAACUGGUAGAUGGGUGUGUUUGUUUUUAUGCAUUUUAUUGAGCCGGUGGUUGCGGUUCAAAACUAGCAAUUUUCUUGAGACCGCAAAAGGACAGUAAAUACAGACUGUACGUACAGUACUGGAACACCUACCACCAUCGGCUAUAGCGUUAUCAUCUUGAGCAUCGCAAAUAUCUUCCAAGGGUUCCAAAUAUCUUGAUAGAAUGUUUAUCAUGAAGAAGAAACCUGCAAAAAACCCAAAUAAGAAGAAACCUAGAAGAAGAAACACAAAGAAGAUCAAACUGAACUAUUUAUUACAGGUCCAAAAGUAUGUUCUAUUUCAACUAAAUCCUUUAACGUUGAAAUCAUUUAUUUUCCUUUCUGGGCCAGUCCGGACUCCAGACUUUUGGGCUUGUGUAGAUAAUCCAUUUAACCUGAUAAAUGAAUCCAUUAGUGAUAUUUAUUUUAUUAAACAUGAUUAAGUAAUAAUUGUGAAGUAAAUGUUAUUUAUUUAUAACUAAUAACCUUAAAAUUUAUAUCGGAUCCAUUUUCGAUUCGACACGUCCGUUCCGGCGACUCGCUGCGAAUACCAUUGCGAGUGGAGUUCGGGAGUGCCGUCCACCAUCGUGAGGCCGGAACUGGAAUGGAGUUCGUGAAUCGUGAGUUCGCGAUGGGUCAAAAACCCGGAACCACCAACUAUAUCUCUGGGAACUCAACACGGAUUUCAGGUACCGUCCUCCGUUCCCCCGCAAUGCAGUUCCUCACGCGUCGACCGUCAGAUUGCCUUCAAUGACCAUCUGUGUAAGGUAUCGCACCCAGUUUCAGAGACCGACACCGCGUAUUAAUAGAUGUUCUUGUUACUUUUAUUGUCCUUUCUUGUUACCUGGAUCCAGAUGUAGACCAACCCAGGUCUGUUUUGGCCCAUUCUUUCUUUAUUAAAUAAAUAAAUAUUGUCC
rnacentral:lncRNA from 1 species